rnacentral:rRNA from 1 species
GCAUAUCAAUAAGCGGAGGAAAAGAAACUAACAAGGAUUCCCUUAGUAACGGCGAGUGAAGAGGGAAGAGCUCAAAUUUUAAAUCUAUCAUGUUGUACAUGAUCGAGUUGUAAUUUGAAGAAGCGUUUUCUCGUACUUUAUGAUCAGUAUAAGUUCUCUUGGAACAGGACAUCAUAGAGGGUGAUAAUCCCGUCUGUUACUGAUUGUGAGGUUCGUUUAUGAUACGCUUUCAAAGAGUCGAGUUGUUUGGGAUUGCAGCUCCAAAUGGGUGGUAAACAUCACCUAAGGCUAAAUAUUUGCGAGAGACCGAUAGCGAACAAGUACCGUGAGGGAAAGAUGAAAAGAACUUUGAAAAGAGAGUUAAAAAGUAUGUGAAAUUGUUGAAAGGGAAACGAUUGAAGUCAGUCGUGCAGUCAUCAAUUCAGCGGUUAACAUUUUAUGUUUCCGUGUAAUUUGGUGUCUGUUGGUUAGCAUCAAUUUUGAUUGUUAUAAAAAGGUUAAGGGGAUGUGGUUCCUUCGGGAGUGUUAUAACCCUUAGCGUAAUGUGACGAUUAGGAUUGAGGUUUGCAACGAAUACCUUUUAGGGCAGUUUCACCUGGCCUCUCGUGGAAUUAUAGAUAGUUAAGAGCAUGCUCUUACUGUUUAUGAUUCUACGAAAAGGUUGGAGUGUAAAACUAAUUCGUUAAGGAUGUUGACGUA